rnacentral:lncRNA from 1 species
CAAAUCACUUGUGUUUACAAUGUCCUACCAAAUUUCUAUAAACGUUAUGCAUUCCUCUCAUAAACAAAAAGGAAAAAGACACCAUGGAUUAAUCAAACUACAUCAUUCAAGAAGAAACAGUCAACACCAUGGAAAAAAGUAAAAGAAAGAAGACGAAAAAACGAAUAACAGUUCAGAAAACAAUACACAGAAGACUAAAAUGAGCAACACGAAUCCUACCAAAAAGUUGGGGUGAACUUAGACAGAAUGC